rnacentral:rRNA from 1 species
UACAGAGGGUGCGAGCGUUGUCCGGAAUCACUGGGCGUAAAGGGCGCGUAGGUGGUGGCUUAAGCGUGCGGUGAAAGCUCGGGGCUCAACCCCGAGUCGGCCGUGCGAACUGGGCUCACUGGAGCAUAGUAGAGGCAGGUGGAAUUCCGGGUGUAGCGGUGGAAUGCGUAGAGAUCCGGAAGAACACCGGUGGCGAAGGCGGCCUGCUGGGGCAGUUGCUGACACUGAGGCGCGACAGCGUGGGGAGCAAACAGGG